rnacentral:rRNA from 1 species
AUGCAAAUGUAAGAAUAAGUCGGUUUCGACAAAUCUGUGGAAGGCUAAGUAAAAAAGGGAAAAAGAAAGAGGGGGAGAAAUUUGUGGAUAAUGAAAGGAAAUCUUUCAAUAAUACAAAAAGUGUAGCAAUGCAUAUAUGAAUGGACUUGCUACUGAUAAGAUGGGUAACCAUCGACCCCUCAUCUGACUCUUAUGUAUCAAUUAGACUUUAGGGUAAGGGCCUAAAGUGAUGAUAACGCAUACAGAGAAUUAGGGUUCGAUUCUGGAGAGGGAGCACGAGAGACGGCUACCACUUCUAAGGAAGGCAGCAGGCGCGCAAAUUGCCCAAUGUGGAAAUCACGAGGCAGCGAACAUCAAUAACAAUGAGAGACUGAAUAACAGUUUUUCAAUUGGAAUGAGAUAUGAGAAGAGAAAAAAGCGAGAAUCAAGUGGAGGGCAAGUCUGGUGCCAGCAGCCGCGGUAAUACCAGCUCCACAAGCGUAUGUUAAAGCUGCUGCAGUUAAAACGCUCGUAGUUGUGGUUUCGUUGGCGGGUGGGUCUGUGUCUCAAAAAGAUGCGGGUUCGCACGUCAAUUACAAACUAGUGUGCGUGUUAACUCACGCACACUUUGUAAACCUUGAAGAAAUAUUAACGCUCAAGAUUUGACUUAAGUCAAAGUUCUUUUUGCAUGGGAUUUUGAAAUACGAGUGGCGGAGUAAAAUCCGUUGCUAAUGACAUUUGAGGAUGAAAGAGGAAGUUAAUAUUUGCAAGUCAGAGGUGAAAUUCUUGGAUUUUGCAAAGAUUAACUAAUGCGAAGGCAU